rnacentral:rRNA from 1 species
GACGAACGCUGGCGGCGUGCUUAACACAUGCAAGUCGAACGGAAAGGCCCUGCUUUUGUGGGGUGCUCGAGUGGCGAACGGGUGUGUAACACGUGUGUAACCUGCCCUUCACUUUGGUAUAACUUCAGGAAACUGGGUCUAAUACCGUAUAGGAGCUCCUGCUGCAUGGUGGGUGUUGGAAAUUUUCGGCGGUUGGGGAUGGACUCGCCGCUUAUCAGGUUUUUGGUGGGGUAGUGGCUUACCAAGGCUUUGGCGGGUCGCCGGCCGGAGAGGGUGACCGGCCACACGGGGACUGAGAGACGGCCCAGACUCCUACGGGAGGCAGCAGGGGGGAAUAUGGCACAAGGGGCGCAAGCCUGAUGCAGAGACGCCGGGGGAGGGAUGACGGCCUUGGGGUUGAAAACCGCUUUCAGUAGGGAAGAAGCGGAAGUGACGGUACCGGAAGAAGAAGCACCGGCUAACUACGUG